CCGGCGACCGGCGCACGGGUGAGUAACACGUAUGCAACCUGCCCUCUUCAGGGGGACAACCUUCCGAAAGGGAGGCUAAUCCCGCGUAUAUCGGUUUCGGGCAUCCGAGAUCGAGGAAAGAUUCAUCGGAAGAGGAUGGGCAUGCGGCGCAUUAGCUAGACGGCGGGGUAACGGCCCACCGUGGCGACGAUGCGUAGGGGUUCUGAGAGGAAGGUCCCCCACACUGGUACUGAGACACAGACCAGACUCCUACGGGAGGCAGCAG
rnacentral:rRNA from 1 species